rnacentral:rRNA from 1 species
GGGUUGUGAGGUUAAGCGAAUAAGCGUACACGGUGGAUGCCUAGGCAAUCAGAGGCGAUGAAGGACGUGCUAAUCUGCGAAAAGCGUCGGUAAGGUGAUAUGAACCGUUAUACCCGACGAUAUCCGAAUGGGGAAACCCAGUAUCCAAUGGAUACUAUCAUUAACUGAAUCCAUAGGUUAAUGAGGCGAACCGGGAGAACUGAAACAUCUCAGUACCCCGAGGAAAAGAAAUCAACCGAGAUUCCCCUAGUAGCGGCGAGCGAACGGGGAGCAGCCCAGAGUCUUAAUCAAUAACAGUGUCAGGAGAACGGUCUGGAAAGUCCGGCAGUAAAGGGUGAUAGCCCCGUAUCUGAAGAUGCUGUUAUUGUGAACUCGACGAGUAGGGCGGGACACGUGUUAUCCUGUCUGAAUAUGGGGGGACCAUCCUCCAAGGCUAAAUACUCCUGAUUGACCGAUAGUGAACCAGUACCGUGAGGGAAAGGCGAAAAGAACCCCGGCGAGGGGAGUGAAAAAGAACCUGAAACCGUGUACGUACAAGCAGUAGGAGCCUCUUUAUGGGGUGACUGCGUACCUUUUGUAUAAUGGGUCAGCGACUUAUAUUCUGUAGCAAGGUUAACCGUAUAGGGGAGCCGUAGGGAAACCGAGUCUUAACUGGGCGAAUGAGUUGCAGGGUAUAGACCCGAAACCCGGUGAUCUAUCCAUGGGCAGGUUGAAGGUUGGGUAACACUAACUGGAGGACCGAACCGACUAAUGUUGAAAAAUUAGCGGAUGACUUGUGGAUGGGGGUGAAAGGCCAAUCAAACCGGGAGAUAGCUGGUUCUCCCCGAAAGCUAUUUAGGUAGCGCCUCGUGAACUCAUCUUCGGGGUAGAGCACUGUUUCGACUAGGGGGUCAUCCCGACUUACCAACUCGAUGCAAACUGCGAAUACCGAAGAAUGUUAUCACGGGAGACACACGGCGGGUGCUAACGUCCGUCGUGAAGAGGGAAACAACCCAGACCGCCAGCUAAGGUCCCAAAGUCAUGGUUAAGUGGGAAACGAAGUGGGAAGGCUCAGACAGCCAGGAUGUUGGCUUAGAAGCAGCCAUCAUUUAAAGAAAGCGUAAUAGCUCACUGGUCGAGUCGGCCCGCGCGGAAGAUGUAACGGGGCUAAACCAUGCACCGAAGCUGCGGCAGCGACACAAAGUGUUGUUGGGUAGGGGAGCGUUCUGUAAGCCUGCGAAGGUGUACUGUGAGGUAUGCUGGAGGUAUCAGAAGUGCGAAUGCUGACAUAAGUAACGAUAAUGCGGGUGAAAAACCCGCACGCCGGAAGACCAAGGGUUCCUGUCCAACGUUAAUCGGGGCAGGGUGAGUCGACCCCUAAGGCGAGGCUGAAAAGCGUAGUCGAUGGGAAACGGGUUAAUAUUCCCGUACUGGUGGUAACUGCGAUGGGGGAACGGAGAAGGCUAGGUUGUCCGGGCGACGGUCGUCCCGGUUCAAGCAGGUAGGCAGAGUGAUUAGGCAAAUCCGGUCACUUAAUGCUGAGAUGUGAUGACGAACCACCAAGGUGGUGAAGCAAUUGAUGCCCCGCUUCCAGGAAAAGCCUCUAAGCUUCAGGUUACCAACAAUCGUACCCCAAACCGACACAGGUGGUCAGGUAGAGAAUACUCAGGCGCUUGAGAGAACUCGGGUGAAGGAACUAGGCAAAAUGGUGCCGUAACUUCGGGAGAAGGCACGCUGGCGGUAGGUAAAGUCCCUCGCGGACGGCGCUGAAGCCAGUCGAAGAUACCAGCUGGCUGCAACUGUUUAUUAAAAACACAGCACUGUGCAAACACGAAAGUGGACGUAUACGGUGUGACGCCUGCCCGGUGCUGGAAGGUUAAUUGAUGGGGUCAGCCGCAAGGCGAAGCUCCUGAUCGAAGCCCCAGUAAACGGCGGCCGUAACUAUAACGGUCCUAAGGUAGCGAAAUUCCUUGUCGGGUAAGUUCCGACCUGCACGAAUGGCGUAAUGAUGGCCAGGCUGUCUCCACCCGAGACUCAGUGAAAUUGAACUCGCUGUGAAGAUGCAGUGUACCCGCGGCAAGACGGAAAGACCCCGUGAACCUUUACUAUAGCUUGACACUGAACAUUGAGCCUUGAUGUGUAGGAUAGGUGGGAGGCUUUGAAGUGUGGACGCCAGUCUGCAUGGAGCCAACCUUGAAAUACCACCCUUUAACGUUUGAUGUUCUAACCUAGGCCCAUAAACUGGGUCGGGGACCGUGUCUGGUGGGUAGUUUGACUGGGGCGGUCUCCUCCUAAAGAGUAACGGAGGAGCACGAAGGUUGGCUAAGCAUGGUCGGACAUCAUGCGGUUAGUGCAAAGGCAUAAGCCAGCUUGACUGCGAGAGUGACGGCUCGAGCAGGUACGAAAGUAGGUCUUAGUGAUCCGGUGGUUCUGAAUGGAAGGGCCAUCGCUCAACGGAUAAAAGGUACUCCGGGGAUAACAGGCUGAUACCGCCCAAGAGUUCAUAUCGACGGCGGUGUUUGGCACCUCGAUGUCGGCUCAUCACAUCCUGGGGCUGAAGUAGGUCCCAAGGGUAUGGCUGUUCGCCAUUUAAAGUGGUACGCGAGCUGGGUUUAGAACGUCGUGAGACAGUUCGGUCCCUAUCUGCCGUGGGCGUUGGAAGAUUGAGAGGGGUUGCUCCUAGUACGAGAGGACCGGAGUGAACGCACCACUGGUGUUCGGGUUGUCAUGCCAAUGGCAUUGCCCGGUAGCUAAGUGCGGAAGAGAUAACCGCUGAAAGCAUCUAAGCGGGAAACUUGCCUCGAGAUGAGUCUUCCCUGUCACUUUAAGUGACCUAAAGGAACGUUUAAGACUAAGACGUUGAUAGGCUGGGUGUGUAAGCGUAGCGAUACGUUGAGCUAACCAGUACUAAUGAACCGUGAGGCUUAACCUGACAACACCGAAAGUGUUUUG